UUGAACGCUGGCGGUAUGCUUAACACAUGCAAGUCGAACGGAAACGAUACUAGCUUGCUAGUAGGCGUCGAGUGGCGGACGGGUGAGUAACGCGUAGGAAUCUGCCUGAUAGUGGGGGAUAGCCCGAAGAAAUUCGGAUUAAUACCGCAUAAUCUAUUCGUAGUAAAGUGGGGGACUUUCGAGCCUCACGCUAUCAGAUGAGCCUGCGUAAGAUUAGCUUGUUGGUAGGGUAAAAGCCUACCAAGGCGACGAUCUUUAGCUGGUCUGAGAGGAUGAUCAGCCACAUCGGGACUGAGACACGGCCCGAACUCCUACGGGAGGCAGCAGUGGGGAAUAUUGGACAAUGGGGGCAACCCUGAUCCAGCAAUACCGCGUGUGUGAAGAAGGCCUGAGGGUUGUAAAGCACUUUCAAUUGUGAAGAAAAGUUAGCGGUUAAUAACCGUUAGCCUUGACGUUAACUUUAGAAGAAGCACCGGCUAACUCCGUGCCAGCAGCCGCGGUAAUACGGAGGGUGCAAGCGUUAAUCGGAAUUACUGGGCGUAAAGCGUGCGUAGGCGGUUUAUUAAGUCAGAUGUGAAAGCCCCGGGCUUAACCUGGGAACUGCAUUUGAAACUGGUCAACUAGAGUAUGGUAGAGGAAAGUGGAAUUUCUGGUGUAGCGGUGAAAUGCGUAGAUAUCAGAAGGAACAUCAAUGGCGAAGGCAGCUUUCUGGACCAAUACUGACGCUGAGGUACGAAAGCGUGGGUAGCAAACAGGAUUAGAUACCCUGGUAGUCCACGCCGUAAACGAUGAUAACUAGCCGUUGGGGGGAUUUACCCUUUAGUGGCGAAGCUAACGCGUUAAGUUAUCCGCCUGGGGAGUACGGCCGCAAGGUUAAAACUCAAAGGAAUUGACGGGGACCCGCACAAGCGGUGGAGCAUGUGGUUUAAUUCGAUGCAACGCGAAGAACCUUACCUGGUCUUGACAUCCUGCGAACUUUCUAGAAAUAGAUUGGUGCCUUCGGGAACGCAGUGACAGGUGCUGCAUGGCUGUCGUCAGCUCGUGUCGUGAGAUGUUGGGUUAAGUCCCGUAACGAGCGCAACCCCUAUCCUUAUUUGCCAGCACAUCAUGGUGGGAACUAUAAGGAGACUGCCGGUGAUAAACCGGAGGAAGGCGGGGACGACGUCAAGUCAUCAUGGCCCUUACGACCAGGGCUACACACGUGCUACAAUGGGAAGGACAAAGAGCCGCGAAGCCGCGAGGUGUAGCUAAUCUCAUAAACCUUUUCGUAGUCCGGAUUGGAGUCUGCAACUCGACUCCAUGAAGUCGGAAUCGCUAGUAAUCGUAGAUCAGAAUGCUACGGUGAAUACGUUCCCGGGUCUUGUACACACCGCCCGUCAAGGGCG
rnacentral:rRNA from 1 species